CGGCGCGCUUAACACAUGCAAGUCGAACGAGAAAGUGGAGCAAUCCAUGAGUAAAGUGGCGUACGGGUGAGUAACACGUGGGUAUCCAUUCUUUGGUGGGGAAUAACUUUGGGAAACCGAAGCUAAUACCGCAUAAGUCCGAGAGGAGAAAGGUGAAAAUCGCCGAAGAGGGAGCCCGCGGCUGAUUAGCUAGUUGGUGAGGUAACGGCCCACCAAGGCGAAGAUCGGUAGCCGGCCUGAGAGGGCGCACGGCCACACUGGCACUGAGACACGGGCCAGACUCCUACGGGAGGCAGCAGUGGGGAAUUUUGCACAAUGGGGGAAACCCUGAUGCAGCGACGCCGCGUGAACGAUGAAGCCCUUCGGGGUGUAAAGUUCUUUCGGCAGGAACGAUAAUGACGGUACC
rnacentral:rRNA from 1 species